CCAAUAUUCAUUGUUUCAUUGAAUUCAAAUUAAACUGUCUGCCAUGGUGGGAUUCACACCUGAGUCCACAAGAACAUUAGUUCAGUUUCUGGAUUAAUGUCACUAGGUCAUCGCCUCGCCCUAAUUUACUAUGAAUAACUUCUGACCUGCUGCUAUAGCCGCAGCAUUUACAUGAUUGUUCCAGUUAAGUUUUUAGUUAGAAGUAACUCGCAGGACAUUGAUGAUGGGUAAUUCAGACAAAAUAUCAUUGACCAUCAGGAGAGAGAUGGUUAGUUUUGUUUUGCCGGAGAUGGUCAUUGCCCAGCAAUUAUGUGACAUGAAUAUUGCUUGACAUUUAUGAGUCCAAGCCACGAUAUUGACCAGAUCUUGCUGUACACUGGUGGUGGCUACUUCAGUAUCUGAGGAGUCAUGUAUAGCACUGAACACUGUAAUCAUCAACAAACACCCCCAUUUUUGACUUUAUAAAGAAACAAAGGAUUGAGGACGCAGUGAAGAUGGUUGGGCCAAGUACACUACCUUGAACUCCUGGGAGUGAUGUUCUAGAGCUCUGGUGAUUGGCCAUCAACAACCAUGACCACUUUGUUUUGUUUUAGGUAUGAUCCCUGCCAGUAAUCCAUGAUUCUGAUUGGCUAUUUGUUCCCUUUGCCACUGGGGCGAAAUGGGCUGCACUGUGUACCAUCUGCAAGAUGCACUGCAGCAUUUUGCUCAGAUUUAAACAGAACCUUUGGAAUCUAAAACCCGUACCAUAUAAACAAGCCAGGGUAGCAUAGGAACAUCACCAUGUUAGAACUGCUUUCCAUGCUUCAUGCCACUCUGACUUGGAAACAUAUCACCAUCCCCCCAUUAUCCUUUGGUUAAAAUCAUAGAUCUCCUGAUGUGAGAACACUGUGCAAAUGUCUUCAACAGAAAGAAUGAACUGAAACGCCAAAUGCUUUGAAAAUUCCAAACUCUGCUGAAGCAAUGGCAACAUGGAUCCUGCUACAUUUGUGAUCACUGGGAGUGCAGGAAUAGAUGAAAUCCCUGGAUUUGCACACUCCAAUGAGGAUUUGUUGCUGAACGUUAGCUGAUACUUUAUUUGUUGCAAUGAUCAGUCUUUUCACUCUUCUAGUUUCUGAUCAGAAAUGUUGCCACUCAUUAAAAAUGCAUUCUCUCUUUCAUUACAGACGUGCUGGCACUCAGAACUUCACUCUGGAGCUAUCCAAUGCCUAUCAAUCUAUCUGCCAGAGGAUGGACCAAUAUAAGAUAUACAAAACAGCUGUGCUGGGAAUUAUAAGUAAUGUUAUCAAUGGAGCCUCCAAUGAAGCAGUGUUACCCUACUCUGGUUGGAAUUAAACUGUUUGGUCUGUUAUGAUGGCUAAGCAUAGAACCAAACCUCAAGCUGCAGAAAAGUCACCUAGAGGAUGCCACAAGGUUCUGUUUGUCAAGCAUCAAGCACAACUACUUUUAAGAUGAAUAUUAUUUUCUUUACUGGGAAGGAUAUGCUGUCUGAUUUACUUCUUUUGCCAUUUAUCAUUAAUUAUUUUAAAAGAAAGGUUUGAUAGAAUCAUUAUCCCAUUGCCUUUCAAAGUUCACAAGUCGAUUCUCUAUGUAUACAUUAUUUUAAGAUCGGAAUAGAGAUUUCUGACUAAACUCUCUAUAUGCUGCAUUACCAGAUGCCAGCCAUUUUCUGGAUCUUUUGGAAGAAGCAAUCACAUAUCUACUUGUCUUUGCAGCUGAACAUAGGAAAAUAUCUGAAUAUAAAUUCAAGACUAUUUUGCUAAUCGCUUCCUUCUGGAAUGCUGACUUUCUAUUGUAGCUUCCUCCUGUUUCUUAAACUUAGGAUUAUUUCUUAAAUUAAUCCUGUUUCCUGGUCUCACCUAGCAUUUGAUCACUGUGAGGAUUGAAAACCUCCAUAAAAACCAAAAGAACUGCGGAUGCUGUAAAUCAGGAACGAAAACAAAGUUGCUGGAAGAGCUCAGCAGGUCUGGCGGCAUCUGUGGAGGAGAAAACAGAGUUAACAUAAAACCUCCAUGGUAUCCGUCUUACUUUUGGCUUUGGAAACCUCGAACUGAUAUCCUGUCUGCUGCUGUAGUAUAUCUUCUCUAUCCUAUCUCAAGUGUCUUGUGCACCAUAAUAAGAUGGUCCAAAGACAUCCAUCUUUUGUUAAAGAUGUUGGGCUUCUGGAGUAAUUCCUCAAAGUUCAACAUUCUAAUACUGAUAUCAACCUUGUUGGUCUCCACUGAGUUCUGUCUAAUCUCUGGUUUCACCUGCUAUAAUUACUCAAUAGGACUUGCAGGUUACUUAACAGCAUCCCGACGACUCUAAGACAGACCCUGCUUUUUAUUCUAUUUAGCCCAGCCUUACGAAUGUGAUGAGUGAUGAAUCAAGCAAUUCCCCAACUCUUUUUUUUUGGCAGGUUUAUCCCACUCUAUUCUGUAUCAGUCAUUCCCAUUUAAUAGUAAUAGGUUUCCUGGUGAGUUGAUUGAAGUAGAUCACACAUCCAUGUUUUUAUAACAAGUUACCCAUGAAACUUAAAUUUUGUUUUAAAUUGGGACUAACACUUCAGGGAUCAAAGCCUCAAUCAUGGCCUAGUCUCCAGGUUGAGCUCUAAGUUAACACAAGUAUGUUCACAGAGAUCAGAAGAAUUCCCAACAUUACCUUAAUCUUACAGAGGCUUCUCAGUGUUGAUGGCCUCGACAGAGUGCGCACAGAUCCUUUGUUUAUAGGCCACCCUCAAAUCCUCAGAUAAACUUGGGCCAUGGUCAAUAUUUCAGUUCAACACCAUCACUCAAGGUAAAUACAUAAAGUGUAUCCUUCCUUCUCCAUUUUCCAGCGUGUGAGAUGGAUGAGCAGCACUGCCACUAGUUUCAAGUUUCUUUUGCUUGAAUAUAUUUGUUUUUUUUGGUUUCAUAUUCUCAAAUAAAUCAAGCUGACAAUUUUCAUGGUGAAUAUUCUGUCUGCAACAAAUAAGGUAAUUGAAGGAUGAUAUGGGAUAUAACAUAGGUUUGAUGAUUGUAUUGGGGUAACAAAUAUCCAAAUGUAUUGAUUUGAUAGAAAUUGCAUAAGUGUUUGAGUUUCUGCAACAGAAGACCAUGUCUGUAUUUGAAAUAAAGCUUGAAAAAGGCAUGUUGAAA